rnacentral:rRNA from 1 species
CCACCUGAUCCCAUCCCGAACUCAGAAGUGAAACGCAAUCGCGCCGAUGGUAGUGUGGGGUCUCCCCAUGUGAGAGUAGGUCAUCGCCAAGC